GGCUGAUCCUAGUGCAGUGGUGUUUACAACUAAUUGAUCACAACCAGUUACAGAUUUCUUUGUUCCUUCUCCACUCCCACUGCUUCACUUGACUAGCCUUAA
rnacentral:Y_RNA from 2 species